rnacentral:rRNA from 1 species
CCUACGGGUGGCAGCAGUAGGGAAUAUUGCUCAAUGGGGGAAACCCUGAAGCAGCAACGCCGCGUGGAGGAUGAAGGCUUUCGGGUUGUAAACUUCUUUUCUCAGGGACGAAGCAAGUGACGGUACCUGAGGAAUAAGCCACGGCUAACUACGUGCCAGCAGCCGCGGUAAUACGUAGGUGGCAAGCGUUAUCCGGAUUUACUGGGUGUAAAGGGCGUGUAGGCGGGGACGCAAGUCAGAUGUGAAAACCACGGGCUCAACCUGUGGCCUGCAUUUGAAACUGUGUUUCUUGAGUACUGGAGAGGCAGACGGAAUUCCUAGUGUAGCGGUGAAAUGCGUAGAUAUUAGGAGGAACACCAGUGGCGAAGGCGGUCUGCUGGACAGCAACUGACGCUGAGGCGCGAAAGCGUGGGGAGCAAACAGGAUUAGAUACCCCAGUAGUC